rnacentral:lncRNA from 1 species
ACCUCCUUUUUUUAAUCAGUGGAGAUUGGCCAGUCGGGCUGUUGUUUUCUUCUUCUUUCACCCGAAAGGAACGCGCGCCGCGGUUCGCCCGGCGGGUUUGUGGCGUCGCCUUGUCUUCGGCCGUACAGUAAUGUGAAGUAGAUAUACAGUAGAUGCUGUCACGUGGUCCAAACGCCCGACGCCACCCACAUGCAGCUGUUCGUCUCCGCUACCUUCUUCCAUCCCUCAUGUUCCUCUCUUCUUCUUCUUCUUUACUUGUCCACUUCUGUCCUCUUUUCUUUUUUUUUUAAACCCCCCCAUCUCUGUUCUCCUUUCUUGUCACAGGACCUAAGGUACUGAACUCUUCAGAAAAACCCAAAGACUCACAGUAUUUCUUCUCCCGCCACCAUCCUCUCCACCAUGGCCACAUCAUUGUUGUUUGAUCAUUCUUCUCUUCCUCUUCACCCUUUCAUUCUCUCUCUCUCUCUCUCUCUCUCUCUCUUCAUUAGAGAUCUGACCUUUGAGUCCAAUUGCUUAUUAGAAUAUGAAAAGAUAUAUAAAUAUAUAUAAAUGUAUAUUCACAAAUGUUUUAAACCUUCAAAGUGCCUACCAUUUAGGAAAUGUACGUGCUCGAGGUGAGCAUGUGGCGGGUGUGUACACAACUGAGGGGUGUAAACGACUUGACUGGCAUUCUGUGAGCAUGGAUGACUGUAAUGGUAACUUUUUUUUUAGUCUUACAAAAGCUGACAGAGAGCUGAAGAGGGGCUCUGCGCAUUUCUCCUCUCAUUAGAUCGUAUUAGUUCUUUUCCUAACACACACACACAAAAAUAAUACUACUUUAGAUGAUUGGCAGCAGUUGUUGUAUGCAAUGACACGUUGCAUAAAUAAGAGGAACGGGGGGUUGAACGCGCUACCGUUUUUCUCCAGCGCUAUAGUUAUUCAGAUAUGUCACAGGGUUCACACACUCUUUAAUGGCACUUUUUCUCUGUUUUCAGGUGCGGAGCGCUUCUCUAUUUAUGAUAAUGGAUUUCUGAGUUCCCCGGCUCACUUAUUUAGCCGGAGCCAGUGGUAACGGCGGACUGUAAAUCCCAUUUGUAGUGCGGCAAAGAGUGGGUGUUUUCGAGUGCGAAUCAUCUUUUAUUCCCCCCACUUCGGUGAAAAUAUGAAUACAUUUUUCUUUCAUUUCACCGGAACAUCAGAUAAUCUUCUAAUGCUCCUUCCCCUGCACCCCGUCUUCCAUUCAUCCUCUCUCUUAGUGGUGCAAUCAAGGGCAGAGUAACCGCGUCUGAUUCUCAUCGCGUGAAUCUAUAUAAGGAUGCCAAGCUGUUCAAAGAUGGAUCUGUGAUCUGUCCUCUUUGGAGAGACAGAGUCUUUUCGCUCUUUUAUUGGGCUGAGGAAAUUGUGCGGCAAAGUUCACAAUAUGAAAAACAAAUAAAUCGGAGGAUCUCAGAUUGGAAAUCACAGCGUCGGUUUGAAUUUUUUUUUGCGGAUAUACUGUAUGUACGAUAUAUACUCAUGUAUGCGAAAUGUCACCAUUGACGGAUAAGGUAG